UAUAGAAUAACAUCUGGUUAUCCCAUAAUUUUCACAUGGAUAGUUGGACAACUGAUCCUUCAACCUGUUUCUGCAGGUUUUUGCUUCCACUCGAAAUAUCUCAGGUAACACCCAAAUAUUCUGCACAUUUGUAAUUUUAGAUUUCUUCUCCAUGCUAAAGAUUAUACUGCAUAUUAUUGCUAUUUAUAAUUUUACAAAAACCUUUAGUAUUUGCUGAUGAGUAGGUUAUACAACUUCUCUCUGCCCUUUCGGGUAGGGGUAAGGUUUGUCUUACAUAUUACCCUCCCCAGACCCCACCUGGUGGGAGUAUACUGGGUAGUUGUUGUUGUUGUUGUUGUUGUAGGUUAUACAACUUCUACUGUUACUCUACAAGUAAAAGAUGUAAAUUUAGCGGUUGAACUUGAUAUCAUCAAAGCUAUAAUUUCUUUGGAGGUGAAAGUAAUGCAUAAAGUCUUUAUUAUCCGGGUAAUGAAUCAGUAGAUGGAAAGCUAACUAUGGAGAAUGAGACUUUUGAGAAUGUGAUUGCCUAAGAGCUAAGUACAAAGAUCUGGGCUAUUAAUAAUGGAAUUUUUCGAUCACAGCAAUACGUUAAGCCAGGAAAAUACUGUCAGGUUUCACUUGAUAUGUAACAUCUGUAUAGUUUUUCUAUAAAACUUCAUUGAAUAGCAAUUAAUGGUCAAAUAAAAAUCAAAAUGUCAUCUUACCAUCGUCCUUAUAGUGAGGGGAGAAAUGAUUUUCUGAAGACUCUGUGAUGUCUUUAAGGUUUAUCUUGGAAAGAAAUUAUGAAAAAGAAGAAAGUGGAUGAAAGCUUUUUAAACAUUUAGUCUAUCAAAGCAGUUGAAAAUUGAGGUUAGGUUAAUUGUUGCUUGAAGAUUCGUCUUGAUUUGGAUGUCCCAUUUUAACCCUCUUUUCUGCUCUGUCACAAGUCCAUGUUCUUGAUCUCAAUGGUGUUGUUGGUAGUUCUAGAUACAUGCUUGGUAGUAUUUUUUAACUUAUGCAUAACUAAUACUUGUAUUAAUUAUACAUUCUAUUCAAUUAUUUUACAUAGCAAAUUAUGACAUUAGCAAUACCAUAGUUUUUAAUACAUGGAUAAGCACGUAUAAAGAAAAACAACCUGUUAAAACCUAUAAUACACCAACCAAAUCGUCGAUAACAAAGAAUGGGCAAGCAUAGGAGCAAACACUUUUGUGCAUAGUAUGAAUGCAUAAGUUCCUCUUUUCAUUUAGAUCGUUUUAACUUGUGAUUUGUGUAUUUGAGCUAAUUUUAUAUUAUGAUAUAUGCAAGGCCCAUAUGAUAUGUUUUGUUCAUGGAACGUCUAUAUUCUUAGACUUUAAUCCAAUAUAUUUUUGUAUUCUUGGCAAGGUUGCUUCCAUUGAGAGAAGUGUACUUCAGCCGAAGAGUUAAUGGCUUAUUUACAUUUCCCAUGGAUGCAGUAAAAACUAUUGUGAAAUGAAAAAUCUGCCAAAAGAGUUUCCUAUUUCCAGAAUCCAAUAACAAGCUUAGUUGUGGUUACACACACAUACACAUACAUAUAUAUAUAUAUAUAGAAUGUAUUUAUGCAGUGUUAUCGUCCAUUUUCUUAUACUAUAUAUUAUUUGCUAACAGGAUUACUUUUGAUGGAGUACAAUAUGCUUUAAAAUCAAGAUGUCUAAGAUUUGAUUUGACCUUAUGCCACAAAAAGAAGACUUAAGAGCGGCUUGUGUAGGAAUGUGAUGUUUUUAUCAUAAUUCCG
rnacentral:lncRNA from 1 species